AUUGGAGUGCCUCUCCUGCACUCGCACUCAUUGGUAAACAAUUUCUCACAAGCUGCAAACCGACAGUGAAAUUUUGAUUCUCCUAAUUGAGCUCGAUUAUGACAUUUCCAGAGUCGAUCACUUGGCUUGCUGAUUGCAUGAAAAAUGGAUUUGUUUUCCUAGCCGAUUUCCACCAUCCCAUUGUCUAUGUUGCUCCUGAUCCUCAUAAUUCACUCGUCUUGUGAAGUCUGAGCAACAUUUUGUUUUCUCACCACAACCCUCUUACUGAAACUAUUUUGAUAUCGUGGGAGAAGAAUAAGUCCAUCCAAAGUAGCAUCCGACAUCCACCGUGGCAUGUUGGUAGUGUCUAGCAGAAAUUCGAUGCCAUCACAUGGGAGAUCGCCAAGGAACAACCCAAGUUCGACCCUAUCAACAAAUAUAGUUGGACCUAACAUAUACUCAAAAGCUUCGGUCAAUGAAUCAUGGGUCAACUAGGAGAUAAUAAGUACUCUACACCACAUCAAUUUUUAUCUCCCUCUUACUCCAUACCACAUCAAUUCUUAUCUCCCUCUUACAUGUAAGCUCAAUGUUAUGUAUACUUCUCCCUUAAUCCAAGCAUUCUUUUGCAACAACAGGUUGCCACCAAUUUGGCUUGGGAGCGCGUAGUGGAAGCCAAGAGAGAGCCCAAGUCCAAAACUUUCAACAUAUCUAGUUGGCCACUUUUACUCAAAAGCUUUGGCCAAGUAAGAUAUAUUAACUAUUUCACACCAAUACUAAUCCCACGUUGUUGGACUUUUUCUAACACAAUUCACACGUCCAUCUCAACACAGCAUGUGCAUGUAUUGCUAAUCAUGGAUGCAUCAUUUAUUUUUUGGAACAUUAGUUAGUCUUACCCCAUCUAGAAGCACUCCACCUGCAAUGAUUGAAAGACAAGUAUUAACAACUAAAGGAUACUCUAAUCGAGCUAAAAGUUAGCAAUACAUUUCCAGCUCUAUCUCCAUCCACAGAAGCUCCUCAAAAGUCAAUGGACAUAAAAUCGCUUAAAUUCCCUCAAAAGAAACU
rnacentral:lncRNA from 1 species